UACAGAGGGGGCGAGCGUUGUUCGGAAUUACUGGGCGUAAAGCGUGCGCAGGCGGCUCCUUAAGUCAGAUGUGAAAUCCCCGGGCUUAACCUGGGAACUGCGUUCGAAACUGGGGAGCUUGAGUGUGGAAGAGGGGGGUGGAAUUCCAGGUGUAGCAGUGGAAUGCGUAGAGAUCUGGAGGAACACCGAUGGCGAAGGCAGCCCCCUGGGCUAACACUGACGCUCAUGCACGAAAGCGUGGGGAGCAAACAGG
rnacentral:rRNA from 1 species